AGUGAACGCUGGCGGUAGGCCUAACACAUGCAAGUCGAACGGCAGCACAGUAAGAGCUUGCUCUUACGGGUGGCGAGUGGCGGACGGGUGAGGAAUACAUCGGAAUCUACUUUUUCGUGGGGGAUAACGUAGGGAAACUUACGCUAAUACCGCAUACGACCUACGGGUGAAAGCAGGGGAUCUUCGGACCUUGCGCGAUUGAAUGAGCCGAUGUCGGAUUAGCUAGUUGGCGGGGUAAAGGCCCACCAAGGCGACGAUCCGUAGCUGGUCUGAGAGGAUGGUCAGCCACACUGGAACUGAGACACGGUCCAGACGCCUACGGGAGGCAGCAGUGGGGAAUAUUGGACAAUGGGCGCAAGCCUGAUCCAGCCAUACCGCGUGGGUGAAGAAGGCGUUCGGGUUGUAAAGCCCUUUUGUUGGGAAAGAAAAGCAGCAGGUUAAUACCCCGCUGUUCUGACGGUACCCAAAGAAUAAGCACCGGCUAACUUCGUG
rnacentral:rRNA from 1 species